GGAACCGUGGUGUAGAAGUAAGCGUGAUUGCCUCUCACCCAGUCGGCCUGGGUUCGAUCCCAGACGGUCCCG
rnacentral:tRNA from 1 species